rnacentral:rRNA from 1 species
GAAAGUAAUGAAGGGCGUACGGUGGAUGCCUAGGCUCUUACAGGCGAUGAAGGACGUGAUAAGCUGCGAAAAGCCGCGGUGAGGCGCAAAUGGCCCUUGACCCGCGGAUCUCCGAAUGGGACAACCCAAUAUCUUGAAGAGAUAUUAUCCCGCCGGUGCGGGAGGCGAACGCGGGGAACUGAAACAUCUUAGUACCCGCAGGAAAAGAAAAUAAAGAAUGAUUCCCCCAGUAGUGGCGAGCGACCGGGGAAGAGCCCAAACCGACGUUGUCUCGGCAUCGUCGGGGUUGUAGGACCGCGCCAUCGCAAGAAAGGCCGUGAGUGGAAGCGACUGGAAAGCCGCGCCAUAGAGGGUGACAGCCCCUUACACGAAGCAGCCCGAAGCGUAGCGGACUCCUGAGUAGCGCGGGACACGAGUAAUCCUGUGUGAAUCCGCCGGGCCCAUCCGGCAAGGCUAAAUACUCGUAAGAGACCGAUAGUGAACCAGUACCGUGAGGGAAAGGUGAAAAGUACCCCUUGCAGGGGAGUGAAAGAGUUCCUGAAACCGUACGCCUACAAGCGGUCGGAGCAUCUUGAAUGAUGUGACGGCGUGCCUUUUGCAUAAUGAACCUACGAGUUGCCGUCACCAGCGAGGUUAAGUGCGAUGACGCACCGAGCCGCAGCGGAAGCGAGUCUUAAAAGGGCGCGAUAGUUGGUGGAGGCAGACGCGAAACCGAGUGAUCUACACUUGUCCAGGAUGAAGUCCCGGUAACACGGGAUGGAGGUCCGCACCAAUAAGCGUUGAAAAGCUUCUGGAUGAGGUGAGUGUAGGAGUGAAAGGCCAAUCAAACUCGGAGAUAGCUCGUACUCCCCGAAAGGCAUUUAGGUGCCGCCUGUGGCGUUCCCGACGUGAGGUAGAGCGACUGAUAGGAUGCGAGGGCUUCACCGCCUAUCAAGUCCUGACAAACUCCGAAUGCACGUCGGCCAAGCCAUGGAGUAAGGGCAUGGGUGCUAAGGUCCGUGCCCGAGAGGAGAAGAAUCCAGACCACCGGCUAAGGUCCCGAAAUACUGGUUAAGUUAGACUAACGCAGUCCGGCCCCCAAGACAGCUAGGAUGUUGGCUUGGAAGCAGCCAUUCAUUCAAAGAGUGCGUAACAGCUCACUAGUCGAGGAGCUGGGCGUGGAUAAUAAUCGGGUAUGAAACCAGUUACCGAAGCCGUGGGAUGCUUAAGCAUCGGUAGGGGAGCAUUGCAUGCGGCUUAGAAGGCGGGGCGCGAGCCCCUCUGGAGCGCAUGGAAACGCAAAUGUAGGUAUAAGUAACGACAAGGGGGGUGGGAUGCCCCCCCGCCGAAAGACCAAGGUUUCCUGAACAACGCUAAUCGGUUCAGGGUCAGUCGGGUCCUAAGCAUAAGCCGUAUGGCGAGGGCGAUGGACGAAACGGUUAAUAUUCCGUUACUGUCUUGGUGUGUGACGCGGCGACGGAGUAGUGACACGGCCGCCUCCUGACGGAAAAGGGGGUUGAAGCGCAAAGGUGUCGAGGAAGGCAGGCAAAUCCACCUUCCGAGCCGAAGCGCGAAAGUACGCCGGGCCCUUUGGGGCAAGGCGAUAGUGCCGGUAAUCAGACUUCCAAGAAAACCCGCUAAACUUCAGCACCAAGUCACCCGUACUCCAAACGGACACACGUGGUCGGGUAGAAUAUACUAAGGCGCUUGGGAGAUUCACGGUUAAGGAACUAGGCAAAUUGACCCCGUACCUUCGGAAUAAGGGGUCCUCGCUUUUGCGAGGCGCAGAGAAUAGGUCCAGGCAACUGUUUAACAAAAACACAGGGCUGUGCCAAUUUGAAAGAAGAAGUAUACAGCCUGACACCUGCCCGGUGCCGGAAGGUUAAGAGGAGAGCUCAUCAGCGAUGAGAAGGCUUGAAUUGAAGCCCCGGUAAACGGCGGCCGUAACUAUAACGGUCCUAAGGUAGCGAAAUUCCUUGUCGG